rnacentral:rRNA from 1 species
AUUGAACGCUGGCGGCAGGCCUAACACAUGCAAGUCGAGCGGGGUUUUCGGACCUAGCGGCGGACGGGUGAGUAAUGCGUAGGAAGCUACCCGAUAGAGGGGGAUACCAGUUGGAAACGACUGUUAAUACCGCAUAAUGUCUACGGACCAAAGUGUGGGACCUUCGGGCCACAUGCUAUCGGAUGCGCCUACGUGGGAUUAGCUAGUUGGUGAGGUAAUGGCUCACCAAGGCGACGAUCCCUAGCUGGUUUGAGAGGAUGAUCAGCCACACUGGAACUGAGACACGGUCCAGACUCCUACGGGAGGCAGCAGUGGGGAAUAUUGGACAAUGGGCGCAAGCCUGAUCCAGCCAUGCCGCGUGUGUGAAGAAGGCCUUCGGGUUGUAAAGCACUUUCAGUAGGGAGGAAGCGUUGUGUGUUAAUAGUACACAGCGUUGACGUUACCUACAGAAGAAGCACCGGCUAACUCUGUGCCAGCCGCCGCCGUAAUAC